rnacentral:lncRNA from 1 species
GUCAUUUUUAGUGGGGAACAAACUCAGAAAUUACUAAUACACCUGCGGCAUAUGAUGCCAUUCAUCUAGCAAGAAACGAGAAGCAGGCAAGGCAGGCGUGAAUGAAAACGCUGCCUGCUUCUGUGGGGAACUCACUGGCUCUGGCUGAGAACUGCACAUGACAGGCCUGGUGUGCCCUGCCUCCCCUCAGCUCAGCUCUGAGAUGGAAGUAGGAGCACCUUAAUUAACUGCCGAAGAUCAGGGCUGCUUAUCAAUUCCUGCCAAGCAGAAAGCAUCCUGCUCCUUGAGUCUGCAGCUCUCAGAAGCAUCUUCAGGCUCUCUGGGAAUUCAUCUUUGUAUGCCGGAGACCCAG